GACGAACGCUGGCGGCGUGCCUAAUACAUGCAAGUCGAGCGAACGGACGAGGAGUUUGCGUCUCUGAUGUUAGAGGCGGAGGGGAGAGUCACACGUGGAUAACCUACCUAUAAGACUGGGAUAACUACGCGAAACCGGAGCUAAGACCGGAUAAUAUUUUGCAUCGCAUGGUUCAAAAGUGAAAGUCGGUCUUGGUGUCACUAAUAGAUGGAUCAGCGCUGGAUUAGCUAGUGGGUAGGGUAACGGCUUACCAAGGCAGGGAUGGAAAGACGACCUAAAAGGGAGGUCGCAUAGCUGGGCAGAGAGGAUGGUCCCAGACACCUGCGGUGGGCAGCAGUCGGGAAUCCUACGCAAUGGGGGAGAGCCUGACAGAGCAACGCGGGGUGAGUGAUGAUGCACCUAGGAUCGGAAAACUCUGUUAUUAGGGGGGAACAUAUGUGUAAGUACCUGUGCAGAUCUUGACGGUACCUGAUCAGAAAGCUCCGGCUAACUACGUG
rnacentral:rRNA from 1 species